rnacentral:rRNA from 1 species
UACGGGGGGGGCAAGCGUUGUUCGGAAUUACUGGGCGUAAAGGGCUUGUAGGUGGCCAACUAAGUCAGACGUGAAAUCCCUCGGCUUAACCGGGGAACUGCGUCUGAUACUGGAUGGCUUGAGUGUGGGAGAGGGAUGCGGAAUUCCAGGUGUAGCGGUGAAAUGCGUAGAUAUCUGGAGGAACACCGGUGGCGAAGGCGGCAUCCUGGACCAUUAUUGACGCUGAGGAGCGAAAGCCAGGGGAGCAAACGGG